rnacentral:rRNA from 1 species
CACGUAGGGGGCGAGCGUUGUCCGGAUUUAUUGGGCGUAAAGAGCUCGUAGGCGGCUCGGUAAGUCAGGUGUGAAAACUCUAGGCUCAACCUAGAGACGCCACCUGAUACUGCUGUGGCUAGAGUCCGGUAGGGGAGCAUGGAAUUCCUGGUGUAGCGGUGAAAUGCGCAGAUAUCAGGAGGGAACACCGGUGGCGAAGGCGGGUCUCUGGGCAGUAACUGACGCUGGAGGAGCGAAAAGCGUGGGGG